UAGGGAAUCUUCCGCAAUGGGCGAAAGCCUGACGGAGCAACGCCGCGUGAGUGAUGAAGGUCUUCGGAUCGUAAAACUCUGUUAUUAGGGAAGAACAAAUGUGUAAGUAACUAUGCACGUCUUGACGGUACCUAAUCAGAAAGCCACGGCUAACUACGUGCCAGCAGCCGCGGUAAUACGUAGGUGGCAAGCGUUAUCCGGAAUUAUUGGGCGUAAAGCGCGCGUAGGCGGUUUGUUAAGUCUGAUGUGAAAGCCCACGGCUCAACCGUGGAAGGUCAUUGGAAACUGGAAAACUUGAGUGCAGAAGAGGAAAGUGGAAUUCCGUGUGUAGCGGUGAAAUGCGCAGAGAUAUGGAGGAACACCAGUGGCGAAGGCGACUUUCUGGUCUGUAACUGACGCUGAUGUGCGAAAGCGGGGGGAUCAAACAGG
rnacentral:rRNA from 1 species